GGUUGAAGGUUGGGUAACACUAACUGGAGGACCGAACCGACUAAUGUUGAAAAAUUAGCGGAUGACCUGUGGCUGGGGGUGAAAGGCCAAUCAAACCGGGAGAUAGCUGGUUCUCCCCGAAAGCUAUUUAGGUAGCGCCUCGUGAAUUCAUCUCCGGGGGUAGAGCACUGUUUCGGCUAGGGGGCCAUCCCGGCUUACCAACCCGAUGCAAACUGCGAAUACCGGAGAAUGUUAUCACGGGAGACACACGGCGGGUGCUAACGUCCGUCGUGAAGAGGGAAACAACCCAGACCGCCAGCUAAGGUCCCAAAGUCAUGGUUAAGUGGGAAACGAUGUGGGAAGGCCCAGACAGCCAGGAUGUUGGCUUAGAAGCAGCCAUCAUUUAAAGAAAGCGUAAUAGCUCACUGGUCGAGUCGGCCUGCGCGGAAGAUGUAACGGGGCUAAACCAUGCACCGAAGCUGCGGCAGCGACGCUUAUGCGUUGUUGGGUAGGGGAGCGUUCUGUAAGCCUGUGAAGGUGGCCUGUGAGGGUUGCUGGAGGUAUCAGAAGUGCGAAUGCUGACAUAAGUAACGAUAAAGCGGGUGAAAAGCCCGCUCGCCGGAAGACCAAGGGUUCCUGUCCAACGUUAAUCGGGGCAGGGUGAGUCGACCCCUAAGGCGAGGCCGAAAGGCGUAGUCGAUGGGAAACGGGUUAAUAUUCCCGUACUUGGUGUUACUGCGAAGGGGGGACGGAGAAGGCUAUGUUGGCCGGGCGACGGUUGUCCCGGUUUAAGCGUGUAGGUGUGUGUUCCAGGUAAAUCCGGUUCACUUUAACACUGAGGCGUGAUGACGAGGCACUACGGUGCUGAAGCAACAAAUGCCCUGCUUCCAGGAAAAGCCUCUAAGCAUCAGGUAACAUCAAAUCGUACCCCAAACCGACACAGGUGGUCAGGUAGAGAAUACCAAGGCGCUUGAGAGAACUCGGGUGAAGGAACUAGGCAAAAUGGUGCCGUAACUUCGGGAGAAGGCACGCUGACACGUAGGUGAAGUGAUUUACUCAUGGAGCUGAAGUCAGUCGAAGAUACCAGCUGGCUGCAACUGUUUAUUAAAAACACAGCACUGUGCAAACACGAAAGUGGACGUAUACGGUGUGACGCCUGCCCGGUGCCGGAAGGUUAAUUGAUGGGGUCAGCGCAAGCGAAGCUCCUGAUCGAAGCCCCGGUAAACGGCGGCCGUAACUAUAACGGUCCUAAGGUAGCGAAAUUCCUUGUCGGGUAAGUUCCGACCUGCACGAAUGGCGUAAUGAUGGCCAGGCUGUCUCCACCCGAGACUCAGUGAAAUUGAACUCGCUGUGAAGAUGCAGUGUACCCGCGGCAAGACGGAAAGACCCCGUGAACCUUUACUAUAGCUUGACACUGAACAUUGAGCCUUGAUGUGUAGGAUAGGUGGGAGGCUUUGAAGUGUGGACGCCAGUCUGCAUGGAGCCGACCUUGAAAUACCACCCUUUAAUGUUUGAUGUUCUAACGUGGACCCGUAAUCCGGGUUGCGGACAGUGUCUGGUGGGUAGUUUGACUGGGGCGGUCUCCUCCUAAAGAGUAACGGAGGAGCACGAAGGUUGGCUAAUCCUGGUCGGACAUCAGGAGGUUAGUGCAAUGGCAUAAGCCAGCUUGACUGCGAGCGUGACGGCGCGAGCAGGUGCGAAAGCAGGUCAUAGUGAUCCGGUGGUUCUGAAUGGAAGGGCCAUCGCUCAACGGAUAAAAGGUACUCCGGGGAUAACAGGCUGAUACCGCCCAAGAGUUCAUAUCGACGGCGGUGUUUGGCACCUCGAUGUCGGCUCAUCACAUCCUGGGGCUGAAGUAGGUCCCAAGGGUAUGGCUGUUCGCCAUUUAAAGUGGUACGCGAGCUGGGUUUAGAACGUCGUGAGACAGUUCGGUCCCUAUCUGCCGUGGGCGCUGGAGAACUGAGGGGGGCUGCUCCUAGUACGAGAGGACCGGAGUGGACGCAUCACUGGUGUUCGGGUUGUCAUGCCAAUGGCACUGCCCGGUAGCUAAAUGCGGAAGAGAUAAGUGCUGAAAGCAUCUAAGCACGAAACUUGCCCCGAGAUGAGUUCUCCCUGAGACUUAGAGUCUCCUGAAGGAACGUUGAAGACGACGACGUUGAUAGGCCGGGUGUGUAAGCGCAGCGAUGCGUUGAGCUAACCGGUACUAAUGAACCGUGAGGCUUAACCUUACAACGCCGAAG
rnacentral:rRNA from 1 species